GCGCCCGUAGCUCAGCUGGAUAGAGCACCGGACUUCGAAUCCGUAGGUCGCCCGUUCGAAUCGGGCCGGGCGUACCA
rnacentral:tRNA from 1 species